GUCCCGCAUCAGGCUCUUCGUUGUCAGCACAGAGCCUGCUUCGGAUCCUCUUGUCUCCCUCUCUCUCUGCCCCUCCCCUCCCCAAAAGUAAAUGAACGUGAACAAAAAUAUAUCCGCAGAACGAAUCCAGGACUUCAAAGGGACAGAGGUUGACCAGAAAGCCCUUGCCCCUAGCUCUGCUCCUUUAUAACUUACUGAUAUUUCCCUCUCUUUGGGGAAGAGGGAAAUCUGAUUAGAUCAUGAACAUGUUAGUCUGGCUAUGGGUACAAACAGCUGUACAAGACCCAGCAUUGGCCUGGCUGGGCCGUGAGCAGAGACCCUGCUAUGACGUGAUCUCUGUGGACCCCAAGCUCAGUGUUGAAUGGAACGAGAACUGGCUAGUUUGCCGUCAGAGACGAGGUCCGCUCACCAGGGCCCCUUUGUAAUCAGCGCUGAAAUCUGACCUGCACGGGAGACCCUGUCCUGAGCACGCUUCUCUUCCACGCCCGUGUGUCAAGGUCCAUGGCCUCCACUGAGCUUAAACACACACGUGUGUCUCAGCUCCCCGCCCCGUCAGCUGGAGGCCAAGGGAGCCCCUCUAGAGACUGGACACUGCUGAGAGCCACAGGCACAGUGGGACCGUCUCCUGGUGGGGGGCCUCGGUCCGUUCGCCGGGGUCAGUACCACCCUCUUCAAACCUAAUUGCUUACUGACCUGCCUUCCAGCUCCUUUGGGCCACCUCGAAGCCACUGAGGCCAAAAUGACAAGCAUAAAGAUCGUGGUUACAAAGGGCUAGGUUAAUAACAACUCUACUGACUUAAUGGUACUUGAAUAGCCCUUUGCUAUCUACAGGCCAUGUUUAUCGCCGGUAUAUCCCCUACACCUCACCACAAAAACCCACGAAGUGCAUAUUUAUUGUUAUUUCCCCCUCUGCGAAGUGGACUUUAUCAGGAUGUUUUGUGGCUUGUCCGUGAUCACAGAGCCAGCGACGGAAGGUGACGUUUUCCGGCCGUCAAGCUCAGUGGUCUGGACACUGCUCCGCGAAGUUCCUGUAAAUGAAUGGCCUACAGGACUUUCCAGAGCAGCUCUGUUUGAGGGUUGUUGAUUGGUGGAAAAACAAAACAGCGUUUCAGGACCAGAUCUUUUGGGGAAACACUCUUCGCACAUAAUGAAAUGAUUUUCUUUACAGGGGGAUCUUUAGAGCCUUUCCCUUGUCCGUCCUCAAGCCGUCCAUGCGACCCUGUGGGAUCUAAGCUGGCAGGAGGGCCUCCGAGGUGGCGUGGAAGCCGAGAAGAAUUGAACAGAAGAGGCCACGGCACAGAAUUGAGCCCCGAAGGGAAAAAUACCAGCGUUGUUAACACAUGAAGGUCAAAUCCAGGCUGCUCAGUGUGCAUCCAGAGCUCCUGAGUCGCCGGGCCAAGGCGGACCUCCCCCCCUGCUUGGCUCCGGCUGUCGACGGUGCCCAAGAUGCCGGGAGCCGGCUGUUCUCUCUUGCUAAAUUAGGCAUCUAUUUCGUUUGGCCGUCCGCGUUUUGAGAAGCUGUGGGGACAAUCCCUGUGGUCCUCUGCUAGACGAGGGAGGCCCGGGGAAGUUGGUGGUGGCCAAGGGUAACAAAAAGAAAAAGGGAGUGACUUUGUGGAAGAAUGGCUCUCAAAGCGCUUCUGUUUUUGUUAGGGUCUCGGGGAAGGUCGCGAGGGAAAUGAGACAAGAUUAAAAGGGAAAGACGGCCUAUCUUCUCUGACGGAUUCUUGAAUAAUUUCCAGCAAACUUCGUUCUCCUCACCGUUGGUGUUUGGGGGGAGGUGGUGCGGGGCCCAUGACGGAGACCCGACCUCUUGGUGAAUGUCCGAAAUGAGAGUGGGUCCAGUUCGCUGGUCACCACAGUGGAGGCAGGUUGUCCCGUGGCAGCUACAAGGGACGCCUCCUCAGCUGGGCCGGGCCUUCCUCUGAGUGGCCAAGUUCUACCUCGUCCGCUCAUCCGUCAGCCUCCUGGGGUUCAACCUGCCCAUCCCUUUUAGUAGCUAAUCACCUUUCGCUCUAUCAGCAAUUUUUUUUUUAAUUAAAAAAAUGCUUUUAUUUAUUUUU